GCAAACUUGGUCAUUUAGAGGAAGUAAAAGUCGUAACAAGGUUUCCGUAGGUGAACCUGCGGAAGGAUCAUUAACGAGUUGAAAUUGAAGUUGUUCUGGUCUCUUGGGGCAAGUGAACACUUCUCUCUCAUCCAUCUUACCCCUGUGCACUUUGAGAGGUGGACCUGUUUCUCUUGAUUCUUGACCCACAACCAAUGUUGGUAAUACAACUGAGGUUGAAUCAUGAAUAAAGUGGAAUUGCAAUUUAGAAUCUAAGUUGGAAACGACGGUGGUUCUGAUAGUCUCCUCUUAUUUUAUACCAUACUACAAAGUAUUAGAAAGUCUAUUAUUGCUUGAUGCAAACAAUAAAUACAACUUUCAGCAACGGAUCUCUUGGCUCUCGCAUCGAUGAAGAACGCAGC
rnacentral:misc_RNA from 1 species